CAGCCAAUUAACCUGAUUAUCUAAAUGUGCUUUUGCAGAAUUUAGAAAAAGUUGGCAAGAGUGAUGCUACGUUACAAGCCAUUAAGACAACUGAGGUCACUAAGGUCCCUAAAAAUGUUAUUAGA
rnacentral:snoRNA from 1 species